AUUCUUGCUUCACAGACCAUCUUUCCAAUGGUUCACCGUUCUGGGCAGAAACAGGCUCCUGUGAAUCGAGGGGCGCGAACCAGAAGGACUUCGAGGACAGAGGACCAACUCCCACCUUCUGCGCCUUGAUUUCAUUUGAUGAUGUGGCUGUGACCUUCACUGUGGAGGAAUGGGAAGAUCUGGACCUGGCUCAGAGGACCCUGUACCAGGAAGUGAUGAUGGAGACCUUCUGCUUUCACUGAGUGACGAAGCAAAAUUGGAUGAUGCCUCAAAAUCCACUGCUUCUAAGUUGACUUUUUACCUCCAAGAACAACUGUCACAGAGAUCCUCAGAGGACUCCAGGUUAGGGCAGAUCAAGGAGAAAGAAACAUGGUCAGAAAUACAAAAUGGGAACACAAGGACAACAGACUCCUCCAAAGAGACAUUCCCUGGAAAGCUGAGGCAAAAACAUGGUACUUUGGAGACAGAUAAUAGUUUCUGUUUACAGGUCUUACAGGAGCAAACUACUCCAUAGGAUUCUGCUCAUGAACACAAUUCCCAAGAACCAGAAAAAGAGCAUGUGGUCAAUACAGGGAGCAGCCAUUAUCCAUGUGAAAAAUGUGGGAAAGUGUUUAGGAAUAAUUGGGCCUUUGUAUGGCAUCAGCAGGUUCAUGCUGGAAUAAAGCUCUCUGAAUGUAAGAAGUGUGGGAAGAUCUGUCGGUACAUGGCCGACUUUAUUCAGCAUAUGAGGAUUCAUAUGAGGGAGAAACCACACCAGUGCAUGGAGUGCGGGAAGGCCUUCAAACGCAGCUCUCACCUCACUGAG